GGCUCCGCCUGGGAUUCCUUCCUAGCUUGGGAGAUCUGGGCAGAGCUUGGGCGAGCUGCUUGUCGAACACAGUGAAGCAGGUGCCCGCCAUCCCCAUGUCACCAUGGGUUUCUGUGUGUCUACCUUGCUGUGCCCGUCUAGGCAUUUGGGUGAAGCAUGUGUGACUGGCCUCUCCCAAGCCCCUGCUUUGUGCUAGACUCUGCCCAGCACCUCGCUAUGUGCCUGACAGCUCUCUGUCCAUAACUGCGGCUCUCCCUCUCCCCUCGGGAUCUCUCCUGUGACCACUCCUUUGCCUGGACACCGUCCUCCUAGCUCUGCAGCAGCUCUUUCUCAACUUGCCAGAAGCACCUUUGGGUGCUCGGUUUUUGCUUCCUCCCCUCCUCGGAGGACAGCUGGAGUCUCGCUCUCUCUGCGGGGCUGAAUGAGGGAGCCUGGAAGUUCUGGGCCUGUUGAAGGUGAAGAAAAGGCAGCAUCGCGCUCCGAUUGGACCAUCGAGCUCCUUUUCCCAGUUUCCCUUUCCCGGAAGUGUGGCCGGAAGUCUUUUUGCCUUCAGAGGAUCAAAACAAAGGCCAGAACUUCCCGCAUUGCUUGGGAUGUCUCGGAAAAUCGGGCCGCUGCCCGCCAUGGCAGUUUCCCAUUGAAUGGGCUAUUUUCUUUAUGCGUCUCUGGCCACACGGCCACAGAACAGCUGCCAAGUUAAUGGGGUCGCCCUGUUCAGCCUCCCCAUAGAAACCUCACCGGGGAGGGUCACUCUUGUUUUCAUCUCGGCUUUCCUCCCGGAUCGGAAAGAUUCCAAACAGAAAAUCAUCAUUUAAUGGCGGUUUCUGUCCGCGCCAUUAGAGCGGGUCCUGCAAAUAUUGACUGAGGCUCCUCCUGAUGCUCGCUUCUUCUUUAGCCAAUACUCGGAGGCCAUCUGAGAGCGAUAGGGGACGUUGUGUCAACAGGAGCUCAAUGCUUUUUAAAUGGUUUGUUAGUUGCCUAACAAGCUGUAAAUGCGUUUUUAGAGGAGCAGGAAGCAUGUGCUGCAGUGCAGAGUGGUGGCCCUUUUUCAUCAAGAGAUGAGAGCAAGAGGCAGAGAGCAGCCCACGACAGAGAGGGCCAGGCCUGCAGUAGAGAGGAUUUCGGUUCCGGUGUGGCCUCAGACACUUCCUUGCUGUGUGAUCUUGGGCGAGUCACUUACCCCAUUUUCCUAGUCUGUGCCCCUCUGCCUUAGAGUUGUUACUGAGAAAACAUUAAAAUAAAAACCAAAGAAUGGAGCGGGUCCAAGGGUCUCAUUGUCGGUCAGGGUCACAUUUUGGAGCCCCCUUUUCAGAAGUGGGAGCGGCCUUUCACCAUCACUGGACCGAAUGCACUAUGGCGAGAAGAAAUUGUUUUUAAGUCACGAGAAUCAGAAAUGCCAUAGAAACCAUUUUCUUCAGUUGUUUUCCAGGCACAUCUGACUCUCUGUGAUGACAUUUAGGGAUUUCUUGGCAAACACACUGGAGCGGUUUGCCAUUUCCGUCUCCAGCUCAUUUUACAGACGAGGAAACCAAAGGAAACCAAAGCAAACAGGGUUCGGCCAUUCGCCCGGGUUAUAGAGCUAGUCAGUGUCUGGAGGCAGACUUGAACUCGGGGACAAGAGCUGCUUGACUCCAGAUGGGGCAGUUUAUCCACUUGUGCCACCUGGCUGCCCCCAGAAGGACCCUCUUUCACGUAUCUCUUCCCUAAAUGGUCGUUUCCUUGUCUCCCUCUCACCCAGCAGAAUUCACCUUUUCUUUUUCUGUGUCAGUAAAAAGGAAAUGAAAAGAUUGAAUGUCAGUUUAACUUUGGGCUGAAAAGGACCAGGGAAGACAGAGGCAGAACUCGGAAUGGAAGAAUCUUUGAACUGAGAAUUCUUCAAAUCAUUACAAGUUGAGGCUCGAAGGAUCUCAGUACACUGAGACGAGAUGCCAGAAAACACCCAACAAGUGAUCUGCUCUCUUUGCCCUGAAGACUUCCAUCAGGGGAGAACGCACUUCCUCUCCAGACAAUCCAUCCUACCACUGAAUCGUUGUGUUGCUUAGGAAGAAUUUCCUUCCAUGUCCUUCUGCCUCAUUUGCCUCAUCUAUAAAAUUACCUGGUUUAACUCCGCGACCCCUCCCAAAUAAACACUUGUUUUCCGAUGAUCCGAAGUAGGAAUCUGCUUUUUUGCAAAUUCUACCCAUUGUUUCCAGAUCUUCUGGGGUGAGGCAGAACGCUUCAUGUGGCAGCUGCUUAAAUUCAAGAAGGGGAUUCCUGUAUGGUGACUCCUUAACCUCCAGAUCUUCUCUUCAGUCCAAUCAACUCAAUCUCUUCCAUCAGAGAUAGGCUGGAACCCUUUCUAGUCGUCUCAUUUUUCUGUCUCUGAACCUUAGAAAUGUGGGCUUCCUAAAAUGUGGCAUCUGCAGCUGGUUUCAGCCUUUCAGACAUCCUCUGAAGUGGGGCCAUUAGGUUCUUGGAGGGUGGGGGACAAUGUUAACUUCUCUUGACACAUCCCACUGCUUCUCCUAUUGACCAUCGAAUCACUUCACUGACCGCAAGAUGACUUUCACACCCCCUAUUGACUUCCCCUCCCUCUCUUAUGCCCUCCAUUUUUGUCCAGUGGUUUUUUGGAAUCUAGAUGCUUAAUGUUGUCUUCAUCCUCUAGAUUUCCUCAGCCUUCAAAUGUCUCCUCUUUUCUUCUAGCCUUUAUACCUAGGUGAUCACUGACUCGAUGGCAUUCAUAGAUGAACAUCAUCAUUCCUUGGGGAACAAAAGCUACUUCUUCCCUACAUGGUCCAGCUUCCCCUUUUCUAGGACAUUCCUCACACCUAUCACUUGAUUCCCAAUGGCCAGUGGUACUUCUUUCUGUUUUUGCUCUGUUAUUCUUCAUCCUUCCUUUCUCUUCCUACAAUGUAAGGUUUCCUAUGGCCCUUCACAUCCUUUUCUUUCUUUCUUUUUUCCUGAAGAUCUGCUUCAAUUUUACCAAUGAAAAAUGUAUAAUAAAUGGGAGAAGACACAUAGGAGGCAGAUAGGUGAUUGAGCGGCUAAAGCUCUAGAUUUGGAGUCAAGAAAACCAGAGUUCAUAUCUUGUCGCAGCUAUUUUCUUGACUGGUUAACCCUAAAUGUCCCCAUCUGUAAAAUGAAAAUAAUAAUAGCCUCCAUUUCCUAGAGUUAUCGUGCGGAUCAAGGAACUAAUACUACAAAGUGCUCUGAAAACAUCAAGGCGCCAUAUCAACACAACUUCUCAUUAUUUUCCAGCCUUUUCACUGACUCAGGAAGAGACCUAUUUAGAAUUUGGGAAGGGAGAUGUGUUAUUUGACGAAACUCAAACACAGCAAACAUUAUGCAGGUCUCUGUAAAAUUCUUGAUCACCAUGGUUUUGUGCAGCAAGAUUUCCAGACCUUUGUGUUUCUGCCAGUGGACUACUGCCAGGCUCUGGCUAAUGACCUGGGUGCAGGUAAUAUUUCACCAUUAGCUUUGUUUAUUCUCCUUCAAUCGGCAAUCAUUAUAUUCCUUUUGUACCCUAAUUUAUUCAAUUUCCAGGAUUUAUCAAAUGAAAUGGAAGUAUUCAAAUUGUUCCCCCUUUUUCCAGUGAGUUUCAGUGAUAUCCCUAGACAUCUCUUCUCCCAUCUGUCCUUUGCCCUGAGAAACCAGGGAGGCAGCAUGACAACCUGGUUGCCCUCUGACUUGGUGCAUGAUGUAAAUAUGCCAGGAAACAUAUAAGAGCAGACCGACUCCAGCCUCAAAGCCCCUGAUCGAGCGGCUCUGAAACGACGCGCAGCUGCAUAUAUGUACUUAUCUGUAAGGGUAGAGGAGAGUGGAAAGCAACGCCAUCUUCCUUUGGAGCCUCGAUCGUCAGCCCUCUACCCAAGUCCGUGGCCGUUCCUGUUGGAUGCGUAACGUAAUGGAGACAGUGCUGUGCUCGGACUCAGGCAGACCUGGGGAGAAAUCUUACCCUGAAACUGGGCAGCCAUUUGGCCAGACAAGCCACUUUAGCUCUGAAGCCCACUUGUUUCAUCUAUAAAAGAGGACAAAUCAUAUCCCUCCUCUCGGAGGUUUACUGGGCAGCCCAAAUGAAAUCAUGGAAAUGACCGGCUUUACGGACCCAAGCGUUUUAAUGAAUUCCAAUGGCUAUGGCAUUAUUACUUAGAGAAGCGCGAUGUAUUGGAGAGAUACCCAACAGCAAAGUCCAGCCCUGGUAAUUUCCAGAAUCCAGCAAUAUCAAAGGUAAAUGUCUAUGCCAAUUGAUAUUGCUAUUAGUAGAAGCAAUGUCCCAGGUCUCAAUGGAAAUGUAUGGGUUUAGCAUUCAUACAGUCAAGCCCUGUAGGGGCAUAUGUACUUAUGAAGAAAAGGAGUGAGUAUCUUUUAAACCUUUACUUUGUACAGUCACUGAUCUAAGAGCUUUACAAACCUUAUUUCACAAUAGCCCUAUAAGGUAUUUACUCUUAUUUUCUCCAUUUUAUAAUUUAAGAAACUGAGGCAAGCAGAGCUUAACUGACCUAUCCAGGGACACAUAGCUAGUAAGUGUCUGAGACUGGAUUUGAGCUUUAGUCUUCCUACCACCCGAUCUGCUGCUCUAUCCACUGCACCACCUAGCUGCCUAUAAGUAAUUUUAUACUCUCAUGAAGUCCCCACUCUUUUUGUUUGGCUUUGAGCAUCUUACAUGUCCUGCCCUCUUCCUACCUUUCCAGUCUUCUUGUACCUUACUUCUUUUUUUUUUAAUUAUUUAUUUUAAGAUAUUUUUCCAUUGUUACAUGAUUUAUGAUCAACCCCUUCUCUCCACCCUCCUGAAGCUGACAAGCACUUCCACUGGGUUUUACAUGUAUCAUUGUUCAAAGCCUAUUUCCAUGUUACGCACAUUUGCUCUAGAGUGAUCUUUUAGUGCCAAAAUCCCCAAUCAUAUCCCUUUCUAACCACAUGAUUGAUCCUAGGUUUUUCUUCUGUGUUUUUCCUCCCACAGUUCUUUCUCAUAAGUUCUUUUGGAUUGUCCUGAAUUGUUGAAUUGCUGCUAGUAGAGAAGUCCAUUACGUUUGAUUGUCCCACAGUGUAUCAGUCUCUGUGUACAACGUUCUCCUGGUUCUGCUCCUCUCACUCUGCAUCAGUUUCUGGAGGUCUUUACAGUUCACACAGAAUCCCUCCAGGUCAUCAUUCCUUUCAGCACAAUAGUAUUCCAUCCCCAUCAGAUACCACAGUUUGUUCAGCCAUUCCCCAAUGGAAGGGCAUCCCCUCAUUUUCCAAUUUUUGGCCCCCACAAAGUACACAGCUAUGCAUAUUUUUGUACAUCUUUUUCCUUAUUAUGUCUUUGGACUUGUACCUUCUAUGAUCCAUGGAUCCUGCUAUCCUUGCUCUUCCUUGAACAAAACAAUAACAAAUUUCAACACAUCCUCCACAAUUAUGAUUCAAAUCAUCUCCCUCAUUCCCUCCUGGAGAUGGAAAGCAAUUUGAUCUGGGUUAUACAUGUGUGAUCCUGCAAAACAUACUUCCAUGCUGGUUUUUGUUUUAAGACAAUGCACAUAUGAAACCAAAACCCCCAAAUAAAAACACACACUAACAUGAGACAUAAUAUGCAUUGAUCUUGAUUCUGACUCCAACAGUUCUUAAAGAAGCCUUUCAUGAUGUUAGAUUAUCUUGAAUUAUCAUGGAUAGCUUGCUUAGAAAUCACUUAUUCCCCGUUUUCUCCCCAGUAGACUGAUAGCUCUUGGAAGAUCAGGGAAUGUAUCUUGCUUUUUUUUUAUAAGCCCAAGUAUUUGUCACAACACCUGACAAAAGUGAAUCACUCAAUAAAUGCUUGCUGGCUUCCCAAAGAGGAAUCUUUGCUCUGUUGAUAAUUUCUGUCAUCAAUACCUUAAUAAUUCUGACAUGCCCAAUAUCACUUAUGGGUCCAGAGGAAGGUUUUAGAAAAUGACUCAAAUCCCUGUGAGGCCCUUCCUUUAGCCAGUUUAAUUUUGUUGAAUGUGUUUGCAAAUGUGUUUCAUGAUAGCAUUUUUCAAAGACUGUCUCCUAGGCUACAGUGGGGCCAUGCAUUUCCUAUAGAGAGGUGAGGACCAGUCCUGACAAAUCCUGGGAAUACUGAAGAAAAUGAUUACAUACGAAUGCUUCUUAUUCUGUUCUUCUCAUUUUGCAUCAUGCUGUGUAAGGCUUCACAUCCACAUAAAAAUGUUAAAACUUUAUAAGGGAAUUAAAAAAAAAUUCUUUUGGUCAUCCAUAAGUUCCUUGUAAUAUCUUGUUAUGACCUUGCAUUCCUAUAAUAAUUGGCAGCUAGGUGGCUCAGUGGACAAAGUGCUGGGUUUGGAAUCAGGAAGAUGAGCUUUCAUCAAUUCAAAUCUGGCCUCAGACACUUUCUAGUUGUGUCACCCUGGGCAAAUCAUUUAAAACUAUCUGCCUCAGUUUUCUCAUCUGUAAAAUGACCUGGCGAGGGAAAUUAUAAAGCACUCCAGUAUCCUUGCCAAGAAAAUGCCAAUUUAAGAUUCAGGAAAACAAGCAAAUGCUGGUUACUGAAGUCCUUGACACUGUCAAAUGAUGCUGCAUCUGAAAGUAAUAUGAUUUUUUCAAUGGAAAUGUCAUUACAUAAGAAAUAUUAGCUUCUACUUUGCUGCUAUACCCUAAGGACCUAGGGACUUCUUCAUCUGAUUUGAAUCUGAAAGCUUCCCCAUGUGCUAUCUCUCCCUUUGGAAUGUGAGCUUCUCAGACAUCUCUCAAGAGCAAGGAAUGCUAUUUUCUAUUUAUAUUCCUAGAAAAUAACAUAGUUCUUUGUAAAUAAUUGUUGUGGCUCAUUCGUUUUCAGUAAUGCCCAACUCUUCCAAACUCCUUUUGGGUUUUUUUUUUUUUGACAAAGAUACUGGAGCUAUUUGUCAUGUUAUUCUACAGAUUAUUUUACAGAUGGGGAAGUGAGGGAAACAGAAUUAAGUGAUUUGCCCAGGGUCACAUAGCUAGUAAAUGUCAAGGUCAGAUUUGAACUUAGGGAGAUGAAUAUUCCUCAUUACAGGUCCAGUACACUAUCCAAUAUUCCAAAUCUAAACUUUAUAGGUAGUAAGUGCUUAAUAAAUGCAUCCUCUAUGCACCCAUCUAUCCAUCCAAUCAUUCAUCCCAUCAUCCACCCAUCCAUCCAUCCAUCUAUCCAUCCAUCCAUCCAUCCAUCCAUCCAUCCAUCCAUCCAUCCAUCCAUUUAUCCAUGCAUGCAGUCAAUCAUCAAUCUAUCCAUCCAUCUAUCCAUCUGUUCAUAAAUUCAUUCAUUCAUUCAUACAUUCAUUUAUAGGUAUGCUCUACCUUCCUCAUUAAACUCUAACCUCAAAAAGGCCAGGGAAAAAACCUUAGUCAUCUUUCUUGAGAUUCUUCAGAUCUUCAAGCACAGGGAUUUGCAAGAAAUCAGCUCCCAUUAAUAAUUUGUUGAAUGAAACCAAAAUAAAUUGUUAGUUUUCUUUUUCCCUUUGUUUCCUAGCACAGUGCCUAGAACAUAGUAGGCACUUGCUAGAUGUUUCUUGACUAAUUGUUAGAUAUCCAUGGACAUUAUUCCAUAAUCCUCCAUUGGGGUGGGAAGAUGACUAUGUUCUUGACAGUUCUUCUAAUAGUCCAGUUUAUGGAAGUCCAAACAAGGUGAUGGCUAAUUUUAGUACAAGCCCAUUGCUUGAGAUACUUAACAUGUUGGCCACACUUUUAAUGCAUUUUUAUUUCCUUACAAUGAAUUUUGGAGACUAUUUCCUUCCAAAUGGCAGAGUUAAUGUCUAGAAUAGGUAAGGGAAAACCCGCAUGGAUGAAAUCAUGACUCCCCAAGUAAGAGCUGAUAGACAUUCUCCAAGGUGCAAACAGACAAGAUUACUUGCCAAAGCUAAGAUAUCAAUUAAUUUUUCCAUUUGAGGAUGUUGUGACUCCUUCACCCUAGGAGAUCCAGUCAGGAUGCAAGUCUACUCCAAACCAUACUUCUAAAGUUAUCAUUCUAUGGUGUCUUACUGUCAAAGGAGUUUAUCUGUAAUACUUGCCUAUGAAUUUUUUAAGGUCAAAAUAAGCUUUUCCAUGGACUAGAUCUAUGGAAUGUCGAACCAAGUCUUUUUCCAAAUACUUAAUUAAAUUCUAAAUACUUUCUUUCAAGAAAAUCAUUUUCAGUUCCAAGUCAUCAUCCUCCUUCCAGAUUCACUCCCAUCCAUUGAGAAGAAAUAUGGUAUUCAUUAUACAUAUGAAAUCAUUCAAAAUAUAUUUCCAUAUUAGCUAUGUUGUUUAAAAAGAAGAAAAAAUGCUUCAAUCUAUGCCCCGAGCUCAUUCAGUUCCCUAUCUGUUGGUGGAUAGUAUUUUACAUCAUAUAAACUUUGGAUCAGAGAUACUAAGAUUUUCAAAUUUAAUUAUCUUUAAAAGCUUCUGAUACUGUAGAUCAUGUUAUCCAAGUUCUACUCGCAUUACUUUCAAUCAGUUCAUAUAAAUCUUCCUAUGUAUUUCUGAAACCAUCAUUUUUUAUUUUUUAUGGCACGGUAAUAUCACAUCAUUUCAUGUACUAUAUAACUCAUUCAGUCAUUCCCACACUGAUGGGCAUGUCCUCAGUUUCCAAUUCUUCGUCACAACAAAAAGGAAUUAUUAUUAAUAUUUUUGAAUAUAUGAAACCUUCCCCCUUUUUUGUUGAUCUCUUUGGGAUACAAACUUAUCAUGGCAGUCCAUGAUUAUUCACAGAUUAUGGGCAGUUUUUUAACCCUUUGUGCAUAGAUCAAUUAAGGAAUGAAAUUAUUAUUAUAAAUCUGGCUCACUUUUCUACAUAUUUGUAAAAUUAUAUCCUUAUUGGUGAGAUUGGCUGCCAAAAAAGAAUUCUCUUUUUUCCCUGUUGUUCUAAUUGUAACUACCUUGCUUUUGUUUAUGCAGAAUCUUUUUUCAAUUUUAAGUCAUCAGUUUAUUUAUUUUACCUCCUAUGAAAUUGUCUAUCUCUUGUUUGUUCUCAAACACUUCCCCUAUCUAUAGAUGUGGAAGGAUAUUUAUUCCACACUCCUUUAAUUUGCUUAAGAUAAUACUUCUUAUGUACAAAUCAGAAACCUAUUUUGAGGUGGUAGGUGGUCUUAGACGCUGGACUAUGAAUUGUUUUUCCCAGACUGCUUUCCAGCUUUCCCAAUAUUUUUAAAGUGAGUUUUUGCCUGAAUAACUGCACUCUAUGGGCUCAUCAAAUAGUAGCCUACUCUCUUCCUUUUGUUCUUUAUGUUCUAUACUGACUCUAUUCCAUUUAUUAACCAACCAUUCUAUUUCUCAUUCAUUACCAAUUGAUUUUAAGGAUUAUAGCUAUUUAACAUUCUUUGGAGUGUGGUACUGAUAGUGCCCCUUCUUUCACAUUUUCCCCUUCAAUUCCAUUCAUAGUCUUGACUUUUUAUUCCUUCAUAUGAAUUUUAUCAUUUUUUCUACUUCUGUAAAGUAAUUGUUUUGAAGUUUAAUGGUAUCAUCUUGAAUAAGUAAAUUAAAGUGCAAUUGUCAUUGUGAUUAUAUUAGCUUGGCCUUCUCAUGAGAAAUUAAUAUUUAUACAGUAUUUAGAUGUCUUGUUUUCUGUUUUUUGUAAUUGUGUUCAUGUAGCUCCUGUGUGUGUUUUCUCAGGUAGACUCCCAAGUAUUGUUUUUAACUGUAUGUAGUUAUGUUGAGUGCAAUUUUUCUUUUUAUCUCAUUCUGCUUCAUUUUGUAGGAAAUAUACAGAUUUUUGUGGGUUAUAACCUGUAUAUUUACUCAUGUGGCUCAUGUGUUUCAACUUAUAUUUAGUUGACUCUAUGAUUACCUAAGUAUACCCUCAUAAUAUCUGCAAAAAGAUAGUUUUGUUUCCAUGUUACCUAUGAUUAGUCUUUCAUUAUCUUUUCUUCGUAUUAUUGCUGUAGCUAGCAUUUUUAGUACAAUAUUGAAAAAUAAUGGUGAUAAUAUACAUCCUUGCUUCACCUCUGAUCUUAUUGGGAAAGCUUCUAGUUUUUCCACAAUGCAGAUAAUGCUUGCACUUGGUUUUAGAUAGGUAGUGCUAAUCAUUUAAAAAAUCAAUAUUUAUUCCUAUGUGUUCUUGUGAUUUUAAUAGUAAUGGAUUUGCUUUUUUCUGCAUGUGUUGAUUUAAUCACAUGAUAUUUGUUACUGCUAAAGUCAAUUAUGCUGACAGUUUUCCUAUAUUGAAUCAUCUCUGCAGA